AUUGAACGCUGGCGGCAUGCCUUACACAUGCAAGUCGAACGGUAACAGGUUAAGCUGACGAGUGGCGAACGGGUGAGUAAUAUAUCGGAACGUGCCCAGUCGUGGGGGAUAACUGCUCGAAAGAGCAGCUAAUACCGCAUACGACCUGAGGGUGAAAGCGGGGGAUCGCAAGACCUCGCGCGAUUGGAGCGGCGGAAAUCAGAUUAGGUAGUUGGUGGGGUAAAAGCCAACCAAGCCAACGAUCUGUAGCUGGGAUGAGAGGGCGACCAGCCACACUGGGACUGAGACACGGCCCAGACUCCUACGGGAGGCAGCAGUGGGGAAUUUUGGACAAUGGACGCAAGUCUGAUCCAGCCAUGCCGCGUGCGGGAAGAAGGCCUUCGGGUUGUAAACUGCUUUUGUACGGAACGAAACGGCUCUGGUUAAUACCUGGGGCUAAUGACGGUACCGUAAGAAUAAGCACCGGCUAACUACGUGCCAGCAGCCGCAGUAAUAC
rnacentral:rRNA from 1 species